GCCCUAGUUCGUGAACGUGUGAACUUUCAAUUCGCUAAAAUUCCUAGAAUUGAGAACAUACCAGUCCUCUAGUUGGGAUGUACUCACAUCGCUACUUCGACAGGGAUGCUUAGGAGCUUUGUGCGAAUGACUUUGUCGAUUCGCGUUCGAAAUUGGGUUUGUGUGGAGCAUAUGCCUCUGAAAAUUCUAGAAUUUUCCUCUCUCCAUGUUUCGUAUGUGAUUGUUUGGAGAAGCAGCUUAGCAAUUAAUGGUCGAUUGCACGAACUGUCGUUUGCCGGUUCUAGGAGCCAGCCGACGCAGGCUGAGAAGGAUCGGGGCGAGGAGUUCCAUAUCUUCCCGGCGAAGUGUAUCCAGGCUUGGGCGACGAAGUGUUUGGUAAUAUCUUUAUGGUUAGGUUCCAUUCUUUUUUUUUUGUCAAAGCAAGAAGUUGAUCUGGAUCUUCGGUCCAACCUACAUCUCCCUGGGCCGGGAGCAGCCUUUGAACACACAGCCUUUGACUAUUUCUCUCUCCCCGCAUGUCUGGAUUCGAACCCCUGAGGAAUACCCUCACUUCCAGUCCAGUCCAGGGUUUCUCUGUUUUCUGUGUAAAAUCCAGAAGUAAAAGAAUGCCGCCGAGAAAUGGUUGUUUUUCUUCGUCCUCGUCUUCUUCCCAGCUAAGUAGUCUAAGGUCAGUAGCUUAUUCAUGGAUUAAUCAAGUGUUGGGGACUGUAAUCGCGUUGAUCAAUCAUGAGUUAGUUUCUCUUGCAGAGCUUUUCCAAAUGGGUUUCUCCAAAAUUUGGUCUCCGAGAUUGUCCACUCAAACAAUCUCGAGAUCACCUCUCCAGGAUUCAGACAAAGCGAAUUCUGAAGAUUAUCAGUCAAGUCCUUUCAAUCGCUCAGAGAGACCCAUGGUUACCCAUACUUCAUCUGAAGAACUGAGGACGGAGAUUGCAGAGCUUGAGAUUGAGAUCUUGCAUUUGGAGCGGUAUCUUCUAUCGCUCUACAGGGCAACCUUAACAGACCAUUUACCAGAAGUUGCUGAUGCGAAUUCGCUAUAUCUGAAGACUCCACCUUCGUCCACUGAUCGAAUCAGUCAUGAAUCAGACAUAUGCACGAUCAAGUUUCACAACUGCCAUGCUUCUUCAGUGUUUGAAUCUUCUGUCUCGUGUAGACGAAGCUUGUCCUCGAGCUUCAAACCCUCCUCUGAGAAGGAAGCGAUGAAAAGAACAGAAUCUGGUCACAGGAAUCUUGCUGAUCUUCUCGGUGUUUCACACAUGAUUGAAGAUCUCGAUGCCCCGGAUAGAAACUCUGAAGAAAUUGUGAGGAGAAUGUGUCUCAUAUAUUGCAAAUUCUCAGACAAGACAGAUUCUUGGUUGGAGUCAACUGUCUGAAGAAAUGAACGGAGCAGUCCGAGAAGGAUUCGAUGUUGUAGUUCACAAGCUGAGCUUCGACGAAGAUGAUUCAAAGUCUUUGGCGAGCAUGCUUCAAAAUUUCAGGGCAUUGGUUAGAAAACUUGAGAAAGUUGAUCCAGGGACGAUGUCGUGGGAGCAAAAGCUCGCAUUCUGGAUCAACAUACAUAAUGCCCUGAUGAUGCACGCAUAUAUAGCAUACGGAACAAGUGAAGGAACAGCGAGAAAGAUUCUUUCGAAGGCAGCGUAUAACGUGGGUGGUGAAUGCAUAAGUGCAUACCAUAUCUGGAGCUCCAUAUUGGGCAUUCGGUCACUCCAAUCUGCACUUGUACGUUUUCUUUCGUUACGUUCUUCACAGAUACGUUAGGUUUUGGGCAUAAUCUUGAUGUCUAUACACCUUUUUUCACUACUAUUGUUUGAUGAUGAUAGGUUCUUGAACGAACCUAUCGUAAAAAAAGACCUAACUUUUAUGGA